rnacentral:rRNA from 1 species
UGGAGCAAUUGUAGCACAGAGAGUUCGAUUCUGGCUCAGAUUGAACGCUGGCGGAUGCUUUACAUGCAAGUCGAACGGCAGCACGGACUUCGGUCUGGUGGCGAGUGGCGAACGGUGAUAAUGUAUCGGAACGUGCCUAAAGCGGGGAUAACUACGCGAAAGCGUAGCUAAUACCGCACGCCCUUCGGGGAAAGCGGGGGACCUUCGGGCCUCGCACUAUUAGGAUGGCCGAUAUCGGAUUAGCUGCUAGUUGGUGGGGUAACGACUCACCAAGGCGACGAUCCGUAGCUGGUUUGAGAGGACGACCAGCCACACUGGGACUGAGACACGGCCCAGACUCCUACGGAGGCAGCAGUGGGGAAUUUUGACAAUGGGAAACUCCUGAUCCAGCCAUCCCGCGUGUGCGAUGAAGGCCUUCGGGUUGUAAAGCACUUUUGGCAGGAAGAAACGGCAUCGGAUAAUACCCCGUGCAACUGACGGUACCUGCAAGAAUAAGCACUGGCCAACUACGCCAGCAGCCGCGGUACACGUAGGGUGCAAGCGUUAAUCGGAUCAUUGGGCGUAAAGCGUGCGCAGGUUGGUUCUGAAAGAAAGAUGUGAAAUCCCAGAGCUCUUAACUUUGAACUGAUUUUAAUCAAUGAGCUAGAGUGUGUCAGAGGGAGGUGGAAUUCGCGUGUAGCAGUGAAUACGAUGAUGUGUGAGAACACCGAUGGCGAAGGCAGCCUCCUGGGAUAACACUGACGCUCAUGCACGAAAGCGUGGGGAGCAACAGGAUUAGAUACCUCUGGUAGUCCACGCCCUAAACGAUGUCAACCAGCUGCCGGGGCCUUUCGGGCCUUGGUAGCGCAGCUAACGCGUGAAGUUGGACCGCCUGGGAGUAAUACGGGUCGUGCGAUUAAACCGUAAUCAGACGGGGACUCCGCACAAGCGGUGGAUGAUGUGGAUUAAUUCGAUGCAACGCGAAAACCCUUACCUACCUUGACAUGUCUGGAAUCCCGAAGAGAUUUGGGAGUGCUCGCAAGAGAACCGGAACACAGGUGCUGCAUGGCUGUCGUCAGCUCGUGUCGUGAGAUGUUGGGUUAAGUCCCGCAACGAGCGCAACCCUUGUCAUUAUUGCCACGAAAGGGCACUCUAAUGAGACUGCCGGUGACAAACCGGAGGAAGGUGGGGAUGACGUCAAGUCCUCAUGGCUUGCGGCUUCACGUCAUACAAUGGUCGGGACAGAGGGUCGCCAACCCGCGAGGGGAGCCAAUCCCAGAAACCCGAUCGUAGUCCGGAUCGCAGUCUGCAACCUGACUGCGUGAAGCCGGAAUCGCCAGUAAUCGCGGAUCAGCAUGUCGCGGUGAAUACGUUCCCGGGUCUUGUACACACCGCCCGUCACACCAUGGGAGUGGUUUUACCAGAAGUAGUUAGCCUAACCGUAAGGAGGGCGAUUACCACGGUAGGAUUCAUGACUGGGGUGAAGUCGUAACAAGGUAG